rnacentral:sRNA from 1 species
CUGCUGCGGCCACCACUUCCUCCUACUAUGGAAGGGACAGGAGCCCACUGCGUCGUGCUGCAGCCAUGCUCCCCACAGUUGGAGAGGGCUACGGUUAUGGGCCAGAGAGUGAGUUAUCUCAGGCUUCUGCAGCUACACGGAAUUCUCUGUAUGACAUGGCCCGGUAUGAACGGGAGCAGUAUGUGGACCGAGCCCGGUACUCAGCCUUUUAAAAACUGGAGGUGUGAACCUCAAAUGGACUGAAUAACCCUGAGUUGGUUGCAGUCCCAGGAGCCUGAUGUUAAUGAGGCUGCCAGGAUGAAAUACUCCAGAACUGUUGGGGAUCCAAAUUCGGGUCUCACCCUAGCAGAACUGAUCCAAGAACGUCACAACUUUUGAAGUCGAUUGGCACAGAUCAAGACCAAGAUUUGGCCCUUUGUCUGUAAUAAGUAGAGGAACUUGGUGUGAGUUAACUUUUUUUUUCCCCCAGCCAUUGGUGUCUGGAGUUCCCAUCAUCAAUAGAAGGAUUAGAGAAUUCUAGGAAUGAUUUCUUCUUUUGAUUUGGCAAGGGAGAUUUGGUCAAUUAGGGGAACUACUGGAACUGUGGCUCUCACUCUGUGACAGUGUGACAUGUAGGUGUGUUGGAAUUGGGUGAAUGACUGGCUGCUCCUUGAUAUCCUACCCCUUGUGACCAUCAUUUCUGAAAGCUUGUUUACUGUGAAAGAUUAAAACGAAACACAUUUAGAAUAGUGUAAUUCGCCAUAUAUGACAUCUCAGCAUCUUCUGCUUUUCCUGGACCCCAAACUUAAAUUGCAGUUCUUGAAAAUGUAUGU